rnacentral:lncRNA from 1 species
GGAAAAAAAGAGAGGGAGAAAGCUUCUACCUGUCACAGCUUUCAAACACAAAGAAAAAUGAGCACUUCGGCUGAAGUACAAUCAUUUGCCUCUGCCAGGAGAUUCAUCACGUAGUCGAAGAGAAGAGAUAUGGCAUUUGUAUGCUGGCGUCCCAUCCAGGAUGUAUCCUGCCCGGCACCUACUGCUUGCCUAGACAGGCUCCAGCUCCCCUGUGACCAUGAAGUGGAUGAAGUGGUUAGAAAAUGGAUGGAUGGACAUUCUACAUGUGAAUAUUUCUGCUUUCUUGCAAGAUGAUUAUGACAUAUGCCAUGGAUGGGACUUGGGCCCCACUGAACUUCUGAGGAAGGAAUUGAAUCUACAAGCAGAUGGGCAAGAAUUCAGGAAGCUCAGUUGUACAGAAUGGCAGACUGGAACAGUAGGCGUUAAAUACCUUCGUCAGGGGAAUGACGGGAGUGUCCGCAGAAGGAACCUGAACCUGCAGCCUGCAAACGACAGUAUUACUCUAGAACCUUAACCACCUCUCUAUGCUGUCACUGAUUACUACAGGAGAUGACAGGAAAUGUUGCAAUAAAUUCAAAAGGGUUCUCACAGGAGAUGACUGAACAAGUGUUUAAAGUAUAAGAUGUGAUAGACUAAACCCUUGCUAUCAUGUUCAUCUUUAUUAACUUAAAAUAAUUAAACCAAAAAAGCAAAUGAAAACAAAUAAAAUCCUGAACAAAUUUCAUGUUUCAUAAAAGCAAACAUAUUAUUUGUAAUUUUCAGGAAGCUGUUUUUUUAUCAUUGUUAUUUUUCAAGUAAUUUGUAACAUAAUGAUUGUUCUGUUCAGAAUAAUAUUGUACUGCAUUAACCAUGCAUUAUUAAUAAUGUAAGCAUAUUAAAAGACAAUACUGUGAUAUAACAAUUUACAAAUAAAUACACACUGUACUAAUAUUUUUCCUGGUUAUCUUUUAUAUAAGGUUUGGAAUAAAAGGCAAUAUUUAUAACAGUAUUAAGUGGUCUCUCAAAUGUAUACUGAAGUCACAUUUUUUAUACCUGUGCUAUUUACUCUGGGAAUAUAAUGAUUUCAAUUUAAAGUCUGCUAUUUCAAAUUGGAAGGCUUCAUAAAUAAAAGUUGUAUAAAAAAGUUUAGGUGAGAAUUUGAAAAUUAAAGGAUUUCUGCAUUAGCUCAGUAAUGCUUAAAUAACUUUUCAUGGGAAAAGAACAACUAAAAAAAAAAUACAAAACCCAGUACAGUUUAUAAUGUGAUAUGAUUUGAAAAUAUCUGAUCAACA